rnacentral:rRNA from 1 species
AUGAGUUCGCUUUGCUUUGGUUUUAUUCAAGGAGUUUCCUGUGAUUAUGGUUCUUCUACUUCUGCUUGUACUCUCUACAUUGGUGAUCAAUCCCCGGUGGCCUUCAUUCCAUCCGCAAGAACUGCUCCUUAUGUUGUGUGGUCUACAAGAUAUAUGCAGAUCGUCUUUGAAGGAUCACAUGAGGGUCUAAUUCUUCAUACAGAAUUCAGAAGCUAUAUGCGAACUAAUUCAGAGUCUCUGCACCUCAUUGGAGUUCUUGGGGAAUUGACUCAAUCUUGGAGCUUUACUGAUCAUGUCAGUACCUUGUCAAGCUAUUGGUGGUGUUUCUCUUGGGGACCAGAUUGGGAUCCAGGAGGACCGCUCUUGGAUGUUUCAUCCCCAAUUUCAACUAGUAUGCACACUCCAUCUCCAGAAGAAAGCAUGGAAUGCACGGGCUCAAAAUGGUUACCACCAAAGGGGACUGCCACUGGUAUGGAACAAGAUGAAAAUAAUAUUGGUAUCCACCUCAACCUCGUUCAAGUACACCUUGACAAUGGCUACUUCCGCGACAAAUACCACGAAAAAUCUGACAUGAUCAAGGAUCUUCAAGCACCCUGGGACCCUGGUGAGCCCUGCGUGAAAGCGGCUUGGGGUCAAGCCGAAUCUCAAGGGGUAGGGGAUGUCAGCGACCCAAUUACGGCCACAGCAGCCCAUGGGCCGGGCCUGGUUGAGUGCCACAUGAAGGGAGGCCUGACUACAAGUAUCCACGUAGGAAGCAGCGAAGAGGCAUCUGGGCUUGAAUCAGGCAAAGGCAACGGCGGCUCUCUCCUUACCCUUAUCUUCUCCUACCUGAUGUUCUUCCUCCUCCCUCCUUCCCCAAAUCCAUGUAUCUGA